UGAUCCUUAGUUGCCAGCAUUCAGUUGGGCACUAUAAGGUGAUUGCCGGUGACAAACCGGAGGAAGGUGGGGAUGACGUCAAAUCAUCAUGCCCCUUAUGACCUGGGCUACACACGUGAUACAAUGGAUGGUACAAAGGGCAGUGAAACCGCGAGGUGAAGCCAAUCCCAUAAAACCAUUCUCAGUUCGGAUUGCAGGCUGCAACUCGCNUGCAUGAAGCCGGAAUCGCUAGUAAUCGCGGAUCAGCAUGCCGCGGNGAAGACGUUNCCCGGGCCUUGUACACACCGCCCGUCACACCACGAGAGUUUGUAACACCCGAAGUACGGUGCUGUAACCGCAAGGAGCCAGCCGCUUU
rnacentral:rRNA from 1 species